GGUUGAUUGCAUCCUUGUUCAUGAACACACCGUUUCUUCACUGAUUUUGGAAGUUAAUCAGGGCCAGGUUUGGUUCGUACUUGGAUGGGUGACCACCAGAGAAUAGCAGGGAUCUUCAGCUA
rnacentral:rRNA from 1 species